CAAAACCAAGUCCAAGUUAAUUGUAUAUAUGUGGACUUAUCACAAAUGAUUAAUGAGACCCACUUAAAUUCUAGCUUAAAAGCUUCAUUUAAGCUCAAAUUCUAACACUAUCAAACAAAUUGCGUUGAAACCUUCACGUGUUAAAAAAUUGGAUCCUUUUCAGUCUCUGGUGUUUUUUAAUGUUAAUAAACAGUGAUGCUGUUGUUGGAAAUGUAGGAUCACAAAAUUCUCAUGUGGUUAGUUACAUGAGAAUUAAAACUCUCAAAUUUCAGGUUUAUAUGUUGCAC
rnacentral:lncRNA from 1 species